rnacentral:rRNA from 1 species
UACGUAGGGGGCAAGCGUUGUCCGGAAUUAUUGGGCGUAAAGAGCUUGUAGGCGGUUUGUCGCGUCUGCCGUGAAAAUUCGAGGCUCAACCUCGAACUUGCGGUGGGUACGGGCAGACUAGAGUGUGGUAGGGGAGACUGGAAUUCCUGGUGUAGCGGUGAAAUGCGCAGAUAUCAGGAGGAACACCGAUGGCGAAGGCAGGUCUCUGGGCCACUACUGACGCUGAGAAGCGAAAGCAUGGGGAGCGAACAGG